rnacentral:rRNA from 1 species
AGAGUUGAUCCUGGCUCAGAAUGAACGCUGGCGGCGUGCCUAACACAUGCAAGUCGAACGAGAAAGCGGGCUUCGGUCCGCUAGUAAAGUGGCAGACGGGUGAGUAACACGUGGGUAACCUGUCCAAAGGUGGGGGAUAACCCUCCGAAAGGAGGACUAAUACCGCAUGACAUCCCGGAGACUUCGGUUUCUUGGAUCAAAGCUAGCCUCUACAUGUAAGCUAGCGCCAUUGGGGGGGCCCGCGGCCCAUUAGCUUGUUGGUGAGGUAACGGCUCACCAAGGCUUCGAUGGGUAGCCGGCCUGAGAGGGCGAUCGGCCACACUGGAACUGAGACACGGUCCAGACUCCUACGGGAGGCAGCAGUGAGGAAUUUUGCGCAAUGGGGGAAACCCUGACGCAGCGACGCCGCGUGGAGGACGAAGGCCUUCGGGUCGUAAACUCCUGUCAAGUGGGACGAAGGCCGGGAGGAUGAAUAAGCCUUUCGGAUUGACGGUACCAUUGAAGGAAGCCCCGGCUAACUCCGUGCCAGCAGCCGCGGUAAUACGGAAGGGGCAAGCGUUGUUCGGAAUUAUUGGGCGUAAAGGGCGCGUAGGCGGUUUAGUUAGUCAGUCGUGAAAUCCCUCGGCUCAACCGAGGAACUGCGAUUGAUACUGCUGAACUUGAGUCCCGGAGAGGGUAGUGAAUUCCCAGUGUAGCGGUGAAUGCGUAGAUAUUGGGAGGAACAUCGGUGGCGAAGCGGCUACCUGGACGGGUACUGACGCUGAAGGGCGA